CAAGGUGUGGACGAAAUGGUAAAAGUAGCCAUUUUCGCAUACGAGUUUUGACAAGCCAGCUCGGAAAUCGGGAACGGUCGGAGGCUCGCUCACACUAUCCGUAUACCAUCUUGGCAUAAUGGCUUGUAUAUUUUGAGUAUGGCAUGUAUAGCAUUAUAAUCAUUUUGUAUAUAUGGUCUUAUGAUAUGGUUAUUGAGUGGUAUGGAAA